rnacentral:rRNA from 1 species
UACGAAGGUCCCAAGCGUUAUCCGGAUUUAUUGGGUUUAAAGGGUGCGUAGGCGGCUUAUUAAGUCAGUGGUGAAAGCUCCAUGCUUAACAUGGAAAAUGCCAUUGAUACUGAUGAGCUUGAGUAGAUUUGAGGCGGGCGGAAUGUGUCGUGUAGCGGUGAAAUGCUUAGACAUGACACAGAACACCGAUUGCGUAGGCAGCUCGCUAAACUCUCACUGACGCUGAGGCACGAAAGCAUGGGGAUCAAACAGG